CGGUGGCGCAGGAUUCCGGCUUAGGGCUGUGCACUGUCCCAGGAGUCGGGGAGAAGGAUGGCACUCACAAGGUGUAGUUGGAUACAGCCGCUCGCGGGGUUCCCCGGGCAGACCCACCCUUGAGAGCACCUAAGUGUGCACCCACUUCAGCUCACGUCCGCUGCCCCUCACACGGAAACUCCUACCCAAACGGCACACGUUUGCACCCACACUCAGUAUUACUAACACGCUUCCACACGCACACGCACCCACACACACGUACACUUGCGCUCACAAAUAUGCCAGUGUACAUGGCAAGCGCGCAUACAGCACUGUACAAACCCACAUACACUCAAAAAACAAAACAUCUCCCUGUGCACUAAAUCCUCACAUUCAGGUACACAUACAAACACAUCCUUCCACGUCCUCUUCCAUACCCCUUCCCCUCGACCCCCCUACUCAUGAUCUGCGGUACCCUCAGUCCCAAAUCAUAAUCAGCGCCCGCGCAGCCCGGGAUGGACACAAACACGCGCGCACGCGCGCACUCCCCUCCCCGCGCCAGCUGGGGAGGCUUCGGGCCGGGCGCCGGCUUCAGAUUCCAGGUGUAGUGGCGGUUCCGCGCUCCGCGUUUUCCAAUCCGCCGCUGUGUUGGAGGCGAGGCGAGGAAGGGAGCUGGAAUAACAAAGGCAAGUUGGGGAGAGCGCAAGGGGGCGCAGCCCCGGCCGGGCCGCGGGGGGAGCCUUGCUCUGCCGGGGCUUUAGAGGCUGCUGGGUCUCGGGCGCCAGGAGCCGGAGCCCGGGAGCCGGGAUGGGGGUCGAGGGGCGGGGCCUCUGCGUGACGUCAGAGAACAAUGACACCGCCGCUGGGGGCGGGGUGGGGGGGAGGCGGCACCCGGAGAGAGCAGAGGCGGGGGUCUCCCCGGGGGCUUGAGACUAGCGGAAGACGUACUGGCCCGGCUAGGGCCGCUGCCUGAUUGACGAGGCCCGCUUGGGAGAGCGGACGUGCCACGCAGAUUCGAGGAUGGCCCCAGGCCUCCCGAGCAGGGAUCAGCGUAGACCCUGGGCCAACGAGGGAGCAGGCCGGAGUACCAUCCCCCUCAACCCUCUUUUUAGAACAUCCUUCAGAGGGCUUCUCUGACCUCGGCUUGAACUCCUUCAGGGCCGGCGAGAUCAUUCCUUCCACCACCGGAGGGAGAAGAGGCAAAAUGAAUUUGCCAGCCCUGAAUUCAUUCUCAAGGCUACGCUAUUCUGACAGCCAGCAAACUCAGCCUGGAUUCCUGAGAGCUCAGAGGACUGCAGCUCAGGGGAGUGACUGAAGAGGACACAGGAGCCAAGCUCAGCACACAAAGAGGGCCCAGCUCUCUAUAGCAUGGAGCCAGCGGUAAUCUCAGCUCUUCCCAGCUGGGCAAGCAUGACAUUUGAUGGCAGCAACUCUAAGAAAUCUCACCUCAGUCUUGAGUCUACCCUAGUCUCCUGAGGACCCUGGGCUCCAGUUCUUGAGACUCAGACACUUGCUGUCCCUAUUCCAAUUUCGAGAAAUAAUAAGGCAUGUUGGAUCCAUAUGGGCUCUUGGAAGAUGCUGUGACUUAGUAUGUGCCUACUGUGUGCUGGGUAGCGUGCUGAGGGCCUCUGAGGCAUGAAUUCAUUGAAUUCUCACAUUGCCUUGAGUUAGGCGCUAUUAAACUGCACUGUGACGGA